GAUGAACGCUGACAGAAUGCUUAACACAUGCAAGUCAUUGGCGAAGCUGCGCUUGCGCAGUCUAGCCAAGGCGGACGGGUGAGUAACGCGUAAGGAACUUGCCCUGCAGACAGGGAUAACAGACUGAAACGACUGAUAACACCUGGUAUUGUCAGUCUGGCGCAUGCCGGCCUGAUGAAAGGAGUCGCUGCAGGAGAGCCUUGCGUCCUAUUAGCUAGUUGGUGGGGUAACAGCCCACCAAGGCGAUGAUAGGUAGCCGGCCUGAGAGGAUGAACGGCAACCAGGGGAGUGAGGUAACGCGCUUAAGACUCCGGGGGGCAGCAGUGGGGGAUAAUAGUCGAUGAGGGCAAACAUGAUCAAGCAGUUAUGUGUGCACGAAGAAGAUUUUCGGAUUGUAAAGUGCUUUCAGCACGCAAGAAGAAAGUGACGGUACCUGGAGAAGAAGCGACGGCUAAAUCCGUG
rnacentral:rRNA from 1 species